CUAGACAGCCUUUCUUGUCUAUGUAAUCAAACCGUUAAGGAGUUUCCUCAAACCGAGGUUUCUUUUAUUUAUUUAUUUAUUUAUUUAUUUAUUUAUUUAUUUAUUUAUUGUUUUUGUAGGAAGGGAGGAAGGGAGGAAGGCAGGAAGAGAGGAAAGGAGGAAGGGAGGGAGGAGGGAAGGAAGGGAGGGAGGGAGGGAGAGAAGGGAAGGAAGGAAAUCAGGUAAUGAGAGAGACAUUGCCAACCUGGAUCUAGAGGUCUACCAGUUGAUUUCUUUUUUUCUUUUUUUUUUUUUUGAGAGAAGGAAAGAAAAAAAAAAAGGAGUGAAGGAGAGGAAGAAAGAGGAAGAAAAAGAGGGAAAGAGAAUGGAAAUGUUGCUUUAUUCUAAAAAAAAAUGGGUAUUAAUAAUGGCCAAUCAAUAUUUCAUUUAAACCUAUGAGUAGGUGUGAUGUGGUAUUGACAAGAAUGUAUAUUUUGUGUAUUUAAAGUGGAGAGCUCUAUAAAUAUUUAUUAAGUUCACUUGUUCCAGGUCUGAGUUCGAGUCCCUGAUAUCCUUAUUAAUUUUCUGUCUCGUUGAGUCUAAGUCUCUAUUUCUCUGGGUGUUAGGAUCGUUAGCUCUUACUGUUGCAUUGAUCCUUUUACCACUAUAUCUUUGUUGCUUUAAAAUCUAUUUUACCAGAUACGAGAAUUGCAUCUCCUGCUUUUUAUUUAUUUAUUUAUUUUUCUUGUACAGAUCUUGUAAUCUAAUCUGAAGACAAAGUAUUUCUUUUUUUUUUUUUUUAGAGAAAAAAGAAAGGAAGAAAGAAAAAAGAACGAAAGAGAGAAAGGAAGAGGAAGAGAAAGAGGGAGAGAGAAUGGAAAUCUUGCUCUAUUGCCCAGGCUGGAAUGCAGUCUAAAAAUAGCCACACAAAAACCCUCCCAGUGCAAGCAUAUAAACUCAACCACUGAGAAAUCUGUUCUGUUUGAAGCAGUGCAAAAGACUUUUAAGCCACCCGGCUUGGUUUUAAUGAGCGCUGACAACUCCGAAGUCUUGCUAGUAGCCGUCACUGCAGUUGCACUGUGUGUGGUGAAUGUAUCUGUGAAGAAAUCUGUGUCUCAACUCUGCUCGGGGCAGCUGCCUUCACAUGGAGCCAGAAUUGGAGCCAGCCAAAUGAACGGCCGCAAUGAAUCAAUAUCAAAGACAAAACAAAUAUGUUUUAAGACUUUCUGACAUAUAUUCUGGGGAGCACUCCACAUUCCUGAGGGGACCUUGGACACAUGUCAAGGAGUUAAACAGACAUCCUCUGGAGUAGCUGAAACUGAGACAGCUAGAAGUCUGCAAGAGAAAUGCAUCUGUCUAUCCUAAUUAGACAACCUGGGCAGCAAAAAUAAACACGGAUUUCUACAAAGCCCCAAAUCAAGAGUCACAAAGGCAUAAAUUACUAAUGAAGGUAUGAUUAUGAUUUGCAAUUGAGAUGCUUCUCACAUGGGCAACUUUAUGUGUUGUCCUUCAGGAUAAAUAUCAAAGGAAUACUUUAUUUAUUUAAUGUUGAAAGUAAUCUAAAAAAAGAUACUAUUUAAAGAUAACAGGUAAUUAUUCUUUGAAUACAGUUGGAUAUGCCAC
rnacentral:lncRNA from 1 species